CGACCACAGCCGGUGGGGAACUCGACACGAGCGUUUCCUGCGGCACGUGCUGGACGGUUCAGACCCCUGAAAUACCCGUGUCCUGGCUGACACAGCAUCUGUUUGCUCCUCACCCGUCCUUACUGGAGACUGGGGGGGCGAGGGAGGCUCUAAUCUCCCCUCCCAGAGCAUCUUCCGUGUAACUGUGACCCUCAGCACACCCCGGGGAGGUGACGGGGGCAGCUUCCCUGUCUCUGAGAAUGCAGAGGAAAGGGUUAAAUCCUUCCCCUCCCCCUGGCACAAAGUAAAAAUUAACAGCACUGGCCAGCUUGGAAACUGGAGCAGAAACUGGAGCACAGACCUCUGGCUCAGCAGGUCUGAGGGCUGAAAUGAUGGAUAAAAUCCAGCUUUUUGCUUAACUUUGGAGAGUCCCAUCCCAGGUUGAAUAUCCCUGUGGUGAGACUCCAGGAAGCUGCUGCUGUUCCAUCUCCUCACACAGCUACAGAAGCAAAUUAAAAAUUGCCUUUUGGGAGUUAAACACUGAAUUGGACAC